rnacentral:misc_RNA from 1 species
UCCGGGUUGGACCCGGCGGUCCCGCCAGACAUGGUAACUGGCAGCGAGGGUUGCGCUCGUUGCGGGACUUAACCCAACACCUCACGGCACGAGCUGACGACAGCCAUGCAGCACCUGUGCACAGACCCCGAAGGGCGAUAACAUCUCUGCUAUCUUCCUGUGCAUGUCAAGCCUGGGUAAGGUUCUUCGCGUUGCAUCGAAUUAAACCACAUGCUCCACUGCUUGUGCGGGUCCCCGUCAAUUCUUUUGAGUUUCAGCCUUGCGACUGUACUCCCCAGGCGGUAUACUUAUCGCGUUAGCUUCGGCACAGUCAGGGUUGAGUCCGACUACACCAAGUAUACAUCGUUUAGGGCGUGGACUAC